UUUCCUGCCGCAGCGAUGUGGAGCAUCAUGUCUGCCCAGGACCGGCACCCGGCGCAGCCCCCCCGGGCCGCCCCCGAGGCUGCGGAGCAGGACGCGGGGAACGGGUACGAGGCGGUCGCUCCGCACUGGUUUUACUGCAAGGUCACGGGCGGACGGGAGCGGUGGCUGCCCUUCAGCGCACAGGACUCGGAGCGGCUCGAGGAGGCUCACGGUGCAGGGAAGGACAAAGGAGACGUGGUUGUCCCGACGUCGGGCGGCAGGUACGACGUGCACCUGGAGCGGAGGCAGCGCGUCGCCGUGUACUGGGAGGAGGAGGUGUCCGAGGUGCGCCGCUGCACCUGGUUCUACAAGGGGGACAAGGACAACAAGUACGUCCCCUACUCGGAGAGCUUCAGCGAGGAGCUGGAGGAGGCGUACAUGAUUGCUGUAACCCUGGAUGAAUGGAAGAAGAAGCUGGAGUCCCCGAGCAGGGAAAUCAUCAUCUUGCACAACCCCAAGCUCAUGGUGCACUACCACCCCGUCGCCACCUCCGAUGACUGGGGCUCGACUCCUACAGAACAAGGGCGGCCUCGGACUGUGAAGAGAGGAGUAGAGAACAUUGCUGCUGAGAUCCCCAACGGAGAACCUCUGCAGAUUGACCACCUGGUUUUCGUGGUGCACGGGAUCGGGCCGGCGUGCGACAUCCGCUUCAGAAGCAUCGUGCAGUGCGUGAACGACUUCAGGAGCGUUUCGCUGAGCAUGCUGCAGGCACACUUCAGGAAGGCGCAGGAGCAGCAGCAGAUCGGCCGGGUGGAAUUCCUGCCCGUCAACUGGCACAGCUCCCUGCACUCCACCGGCGUGGACGUGGACCUGGAGCGAAUCACUUUGCCGAGCAUCAGCCGCCUGCGUCACUUCAUCAACGACACCAUCCUGGAUGCUUUCUUCUACAACAGCUCCACCUAUUGCCAGACCAUCCUGGACACGGUGGCCUCUGAGAUGAACCGCCUCUACCUGCUCUUCCUGCAGAGGAACCCAGGCUUUAAAGGGGGGGUUUCCAUCGCGGGUCACAGCCUGGGCUCCCUCAUUUUGUUUGAUCUCCUGACGAACCAGAAGGCUGCUCCUGAGGAGGACGAGCGCAGCAGGGAGGGGCCCGAGGUAACUUCAAGCAGCAGGGGUGCUGAGGAAGUGAAAGAAAUCCUGAGGAAGCUGGAUCUGUCUGAGUACUGUCCUGUUUUCGAGAAGGAGAAAAUAGAUGGGGAAGCGCUGUUCUUGUGCGCAGAGAAAAACCUGGAAGAAAUGGGAAUUCCCUUAGGACCACGAAUGAAGCUCCUCCAUUACAUCAGCUCCAACAGGGAGACGCAGGACUCCAGAGACCACAAUGCUGCUGGGCAGCACGGCACCAGCAGCACCAGUGCCAGCAGGGAUGGCUCAUACCGGGACGUGAGCCUGGGGCAGGUCUCGGCCAACUACCCCCAGCUGCUCUACAAGCCUGCCAUCUUCUUCGCUUUUGGGUCUCCCAUUGGGAUGUUCCUCACGGUGCGAGGAGUGAAGCGGAUCAACCCGGACUACAGCCUGCCCACCUGCAAGGGCUUCUUCAACAUCUUCCACCCCGUAGUUCGACCCGGUGGCGUACAGGAUCGAGCCCAUGAUCGUCCCAGAUCUGGAAUUCGAGCCCAUGCUGCUCCCGCACCACAAGGGCAGGAAGAGGAUGCACCUCGAGCUGAAAGAAGGGCUGACGCGCAUGAGCGUGGACCUGAAGAACAACCUGCUGGGCUCCCUGCGGGUGGCGUGGCAGUCCUUCACCCGCGCCCCGCUGGCGGCCGUGGAGGGCACGAGCAGCGAGGGGGAGGCAGAGGCGGAGGCCGGCACAGAGAAGCAGCCAGAUCCAAAGCCGGAAGAGGCCCCGGCACCGGCGAAGGAGGAUCCCUCCCUCAUUAACGUGGGGAAGCUGAACGGGGGGAAUCGCAUCGACUACGUGCUCCAGGAGAAGCCCAUCGAGAGCUUUAAUGAAUAUUUGUUUGCGCUGCAAGGGCAUCUCUGCUAUUGGGAGUCAGAGGACACUGUUCUGCUGGUUCUGAAGGAGAUCUACCAGACCAUAGGCGUUACACUGGACCAACCUCUGCCAGGAAGCCAAUGACCACCCCGUGCUGCUCAACCACUUGUUGUAAGUCACCUUACACGCCUACACUUCCAAAUUUCCUAGGAGUCCCCAGAGGACGUACGGUCUGUUUGAAGGAAUAACGUUCCUUAUUUACAGCGCUGUGCUGGGCUUGGCUUUGGCCUGUCAGCACACUGGGCUUCCUUCCUCUUUAUCGUGCACAAAAGCACAUCAGACACAAGAUUUAUUCCAGUGUUCUCCCUUUGCUCUCUUAGAUACAAUUCAAUCGAGUACUCACCAGGAAAGUUCAGAUUUCUUCUCUGCCUUCCUCUCUCCUCUGCUGCCGUGCCCCGCAUGCUGCUUCCCCACUACUUGCUGCUGCCUGGAGAUAAAGAUGGUUUUCCUCCAUUUUGGGUAGGAAAAAACCAAACAAACACAAAACCCACUUCUGCUAACACACACACACACACACACACACACACACACACAGCACUUGCACUGUGACUUCCUGUGACAACACGUGCUGUCAGCCCUGAACUUGUCUGCCCACCUCGCAGGUUAUCACAUGGGCUUUGCAGUGCCGGUGCAGACAGCUGCCUGGGCUAGGAAAUGCGAUACCAGGGCCUGAACCCUGCUGCAGGCUUAGCGAGAACACUCAUAGCUUGGGACCUUGAGAAAUAAAAGCCUUAAACAUGCAGCAUGGAGAGAGCUAUAGCAGCCUUGAGAGAAGGAGAUGCUGACUUCUCGUGGGAGAAGGAUGAGGCACUGUUCUGCUGUAGCACUGAGCUCGAGAGCGGCAGCUUUUGGGAGGCACAGACAAGGAGCGUGGGCAUCUGCACGCACCGUAGCUUGUGGCCAUGUGCACAGCACCCAGGAAAGCUUUACCUCCAGAUCCAAGCAACAGCUGGGUUAGAGGAAAGCAGCCACCCCAGGCACCAGGCCCUGGAGGGCCAGCCCUCCUGCACUCUGCAGGAGCACGCAGCAGUGCUGCAGAGUUCAAGGUGGCUGCAGGGAUCUCAUUCCCAUCAGCCUCCAGCCAGUGGUUUCGUUGGCAAGUACACCAAAUGGCAGCCAGGGAGGGCAGAGCCCACAUCUGUUGGAUCUGGGCACUGUCUCAGUGACUCCACUGAAGAAGUUCGAGUACUCUGGCAGGCAGCGCAGCCUGCACCUUGCUGUUUUGUGUUAGCUCUCCUCCAAGGGCAACAGGGAGCCCCGGGUGAUGGGUCCCCUAUGACCCAAACCACUGCUAGACUGCAGCUGGAGCCUCGGAGCGGGUAGGGGAAACGUUUCAGUGACAUGUAAGGUCACUGCAGCCUUUGCAAAGAGCCACCUCCCUCCCGCUGACUUUUGCCCUGCAUGGGGUAACGCGCCUUGUUUCCAUAGCUUCCCUUUGUUUGUCCUCCGUUGUACUUCGUUAUUUGCACUAUUCCAAAGGUGUUGUUUGCAGCCUCCAACCUCCUCCCAUCCCUAAGGAACUGAAGCUGUUCAUUUACUUGACUGCAGAAACAGACAUGCUGCUCCUUCUGAGCCUGAGUUACCGAUUGCUAAACGCCUCCUACGAGAGUAGGAAAAGGAACAGUCUUAACAUGGGACACUCGUGACCAGCUUUUUAAGUUAUGCACUUUGUUAAAAAAAAAUUAAAUAAGUUUUAAAUGUUA